AUCAAAUAACAACAUACAGGUGUCCCGAUAUUUAUCGGGACUCCAAGGGAAUCCCAACUCCAAUUUAAAAGCAACCGCAGAUUACACGGAUUUCUCAGAUUUUUUCUGUGUAAUCUGUGAAAAUCUGUGGUUUCACGGUAUUUAACUGGAGAAAAGGGAACGGUACCGCCGCUGUAAUCGGUGACGAACGUUGCAAGACCACUCUCAGCCUUUUGGUGAGAGGAAGGCGCAACAAGUAGGAUGAUCCGCCAGUCAGAAGACCUGCCUGUAAUGUUUUGCCGAA
rnacentral:ncRNA from 2 species